GAUGAACGCUGGCGGCGUGCCUAAUACAUGCAAGUCGAGCGAACAGACGAGGAGCUUGCUCCUCUGAUGUUAGCGGCGGACGGGUGAGUAACACGUGGAUAACCUACCUAUAAGACUGGGAUAACUUCGGGAAACCGGAGCUAAUACCGGAUAACAUGUUGAACCGCAUGGUUCAACAGUGAAAGACGGUCUUGCUGUCACUUAUAGAUGGAUCCGCGCCGCAUUAGCUAGUUGGUAAGGUAACGGCUUACCAAGGCAACGAUGCGUAGCCGACCUGAGAGGGUGAUCGGCCACACUGGAACUGAGACACGGUCCAGACUCCUACGGGAGGCAGCAGUAGGGAAUCUUCCGCAAUGGGCGAAAGCCUGACGGAGCAACGCCGCGUGAGUGAAGAAGGUCUUCGGAUCGUAAAACUCUGUUAUUAGGGAAGAACAAAUGUGUAAGUAACUAUGCACGUCUUGACGGUACCUAACCAGAAAGCCACGGCUAACUACGUG
rnacentral:rRNA from 1 species